UUCGCAAUGCCCGAAAGGGUGACGAAGCGACGCCGCGUGUGGGAAGAAGGCCUUCGGGUCGUAAACCACUGUCGGGAGUUAAGAAAUGCAAGGAUAUGAAUAGUGUCUUUGCUUGACUAAGGCUCCGGAGGAAGCCACGGCUAACUCUGUGCCAGCAGCCGCGGUAAUACAGAGGCGGCAAGCGUUGUUCGGGAUUAUUGGGCGUAAAGAGCACGUAGGCGGCUAUGUAAGUCGGUUGUGAAAGCCUUCCGCUCAACGGAAGAACAGCAUCCGAUACUACAUGGCUUGAGUGCGGGAGGGGAGAGUGGAACUUCUGGUGGAGCGGUGAAAUGCGUAGAUAUCAGAAGGAACGCCGGCGGCGAAAGCGGCUCUCUGGCCCAUAACUGACGCUGAGUGUGCGAAAGCUAGGGGAGCAAACGGGAUUAGAUACCCCGGUAGUCCUAGCCGUAAACGAUGGGCACUAAGUAGAGGGGUUUU
rnacentral:rRNA from 1 species